GAACAAACAUCUGAUCCUAGACCCAGUCAGCAGGGAGGAUGCAGGAAGCUACUCCUGUGCUGUGAAAACCAACAAAGAUAUCAGCUCUGCUCCAAAGACUCUCACUGUCCAAAGUAUCACAGGAACAUGGACAAUUGGAGUUUCUGUAAUAGUUCUGGUUUCAAUACUUCUCCUUUUCUUCUUUUUGAUUAGAAAAAAGAGGACUACGAGUCAGUCUUCCACAAACGAAACAUCAAACAACAUAGUGGAGCUAAAUCCUGAUCCUGUGCGUGAAGACAUCUUAGGUGAGCCACAGGUGGAGGAUGAAGUCCUCUACAGCAAAGUCUACUUCUUUAAAAACCACACAGAUCCUCUUUUGUCUACCAUAGAGCCACUUCAGCCAAGAGAAGAGCAGCAUGCUGAUUACACUGUGGUGAAGUAUAGAAAUAACACGAGCUCUGAUGAAGAAUCUGUUGUCCUUUCAACAGAAACAGACCCCACAUGGUGUUGAACAAGCCUUUUAACACAUCUCUGCAACUGUCAUUUAAAAUUUUGUGCAUCACACUUGAAUCUUCAUUUUACCUUUUUGCUGUGUUCGACAAAAUUAGAUUAGGCAGUUCGAUGGGCUUCACAUGUUACUCAUAUGAAUGGAAUAAUUCAUGAUCAUGUAAAUAUUAUGCUCAUGUAUUUUUAUUUUUAUUCUAUUUUAGCAGGUCACGUGCCUUUUGUCUCCCUUUUCUAACCGUGAGAGCAAUUACACACAAAGAAAGGUUGUUCACUAUAAUCCAAGAACAAAGGGAUACAACAACUGUAGUGUUUGCUGUGGGGAUGACCCUUGUGUGCAUGUGCUAUUAUAGCAGAAGACACUGAAAUGCGGGAAUGUCACUGCAUUAUAGCCUUGAUUUUGUCACAGUGCAGAAUAUUUAAGUCCAAGUUGUUACUCUUAUUUAUUUCGUAACAACUGGAAACCUUGUUAUGUCUUUUUCAGAACUGUACAUUUAACCAUUUCAUUGCUGUUAGUAAUUUUUAUUUCAUUGACGGUUUGUUCUUAUAUCAUUAUAUCACUGGUGAAUUUUGCCACUUAGCGCUGCCCUUUGUCACUUUUAUAUAUGUAUAAACAUAUGAUGUGUUUUUGUGUAUAUAUGUAAACCUUGUUGAAAAUUUGGAUUUACAAAGUAUGACAAUUACAAAUACAGAUAUCAGUGUCACAGUAUAAAGACAAAUAACCUGAUUUAGAAAUUAUUUUAUUUGUGGCAACAAGCAGAGAUAAAAGGCUUUUCAUCUGUAAACUCCUCACCCAGCCCCCACACUUGC